AGCUCCGAGGUGUUUUUACAUUUAGGGUUGCAAACCCUGAGUAGCAGGUUUGUCCCUGCCGGGGCUU
rnacentral:tRNA from 1 species